rnacentral:rRNA from 1 species
AGUCGAGCGAACAGAUAAGGAGCUUGCUCCUUUGACGUUAGCGGCGGACGGGUGAGUAACACGUGGGUAACCUACCUAUAAGACUGGGAUAACUUCGGGAAACCGGAGCUAAUACCGGAUAACAUUUGGAACCGCAUGGUUCUAAAGUGAAAGAUGGUUUUGCUAUCACUUAUAGAUGGACCCGCGCCGUAUUAGCUAGUUGGUAAGGUAACGGCUUACCAAGGCGACGAUACGUAGCCGACCUGAGAGGGUGAUCGGCCACACUGGAACUGAGACACGGUCCAGACUCCUACGGGAGGCAGCAGUAGGGAAUCUUCCGCAAUGGGCGAAAGCCUGACGGAGCAACGCCGCGUGAGUGAUGAAGGGUUUCGGCUCGUAAAACUCUGUUAUUAGGGAAGAACAAACGUGUAAGUAACUGUGCACGUCUUGACGGUACCUAAUCAGAAAGCCACGGCUAACUACGUGCCAGCAGCCGCGGUAAUACGUAGGUGGCAAGCGUUAUCCGGAAUUAUUGGGCGUAAAGCGCGCGUAGGCGGUUUCUUAAGUCUGAUGUGAAAGCCCACGGCUCAACCGUGGAGGGUCAUUGGAAACUGGGAAACUUGAGUGCAGAAGAGGAAAGUGGAAUUCCAUGUGUAGCGGUGAAAUGCGCAGAGAUAUGGAGGAACACCAGUGGCGAAGGCGACUUUCUGGUCUGUAACUGACGCUGAUGUGCGAAAGCGUGGGGAUCAAACAGGAUUAGAUACCCUGGUAGUCCACGCCGUAAACGAUGAGUGCUA